rnacentral:hammerhead_ribozyme from 1 species
CUCCAGCUGAAGAGUCCCAAAUAGGACGAAACGCGCGUCCUGGAU